UCCCGGCUAGCUCAGUUGGUAGAGCGACAGACUCUUAAUUAGUCUGGAUGCAUGCGCAUCCAACAAUCUGUAGGUCCAGGGUUCGAGCCCCUGGUUGGGAG
rnacentral:tRNA from 1 species